GGGUAGAGAAAUGGUCUAACAGUUAAUAACCAUCUGUAAUUCCAGUUCCAAGAGACCUGACACCCUCUUCCAGCCCCCUCUGGCACCAGGACCCAUGAAAGGUGCAUCUGAACACUGAACAAAGAAACCUAAUAGAGGGAAAUCGAAGGGGUUAAAAUUCAGCCUAACCACUUGAAGACUCUGAUUUACCCUGAAGAGAGGCACAAACUGAACGACCACUUCACGAACAAUUGGGCACCCAAACAAUUGGAAAUAUUUCAGAAGAACAAAUGAAGCAAAGGAGAUCAUGGAAAGCAGGAAAUAUAUGGGUGCAAUUUUGAGCCUAAAUGAACAUGCAGGGCCAUAUACAAAAUAACCAGUGAGAUGUGAAAACUGA